AGCAGUGUAGCGUAGUGGUAAGGCGCAGGGCUUGUAACCGAAAGGUUUCUGGUUCAAAUGCCUGCUGGGACACUGCUG